GGUCACGUGGCGAAUUAGUAAACGCGGCGGUCUGCAAAACCGCUACUUGUGGGUGCGAUCCCCACCGUGACCU
rnacentral:tRNA from 1 species